CCUACAUGGAGAGAUGAAAGGAAUGAGUCAGUGCUAUGGACUGAAUUAUGUCCCCCCAAAAUUCAUACGUUGAAGCCCUAACACACAAUGUGAUGGUGUUUGAAGAUGGAGCCUUUGAGAGAUCAGAGAAACUCUUCAAUAACACAGUGGCAGGAUGAAAAGAAAUCAACACAAAGAUAAAGCUGUUCAUUUUGGUGGGCAGCCAUACCAUGUUUCCUCCUAGCAUUUCCUGUCAGCUGUCUGGCUCUCUACCAGGGAAAAGAAAAACCUCCUAAUACUGUUCCUG